rnacentral:misc_RNA from 1 species
GAUGAAGAACGCAGCUAAAUGCGAUAAGUAAUGUGAAUUGCAGAAUUCAGUGAAUCAUCGAAUCUUUGAACGCACAUUGCGCCCGGUAGUAUUCUGCCGGGCAUGCCUGUUCGAGCGUCAUUUCAACCAUCAAGCCCCAGCGCUUGUGUUGGGGGCCUGCGGCUGCCGCAGCCCCCUAAAAGCAGUGGCGGGCUCGCUAUCACACCGAGUGCAGUAGUUCAUCUUCUCUCCGGUCUUGUGAGGCGGGUUCCGGCCGUGAAACACCCCACUACAUUCAAGGUUGACCUCGGAUCAGGUAGGAAUACCCGCUGAACUUAAGCAUAUCAAUAAGCGGAGGA